ACGCUGGCGGCAGGCCUAACACAUGCAAGUCGAGCGGUAGAGAGAAGCUUGCUUCUCUUGAGAGCGGCGGACGGGUGAGUAAUGCCUAGGAAUCUGCCUGGUAGUGGGGGAUAACGUUCGGAAACGGACGCUAAUACCGCAUACGUCCUACGGGAGAAAGCAGGGGACCUUCGGGCCUUGCGCUAUCAGAUGAGCCUAGGUCGGAUUAGCUAGUCGGUGGGGUAAUGGCUCACCAAGGCGACGAUCCGUAACUGGUCUGAGAGGAUGAUCAGUCACACUGGAACUGAGACACGGUCCAGACUCCUACGGGAGGCAGCAGUGGGGAAUAUUGGACAAUGGGCGAAAGCCUGAUCCAGCCAUGCCGCGUGUGUGAAGAAGGUCUUCGGAUUGUAAAGCACUUUAAGUUGGGAGGAAGGGUUGUAGAUUAAUACUCUGCAAUUUUGACGUUACCGACAGAAUAAGCACCGGCUAACUCUGUGCCAGCAGCCGCGGUAAUACAGAGGGUGCAGGCGUUAAUCGGAAUUACUGGGCGUAAAGCGCGCGUAGGUGGUUUGUUAAGUUGGAUGUGAAAUCCCCGGGCUCAACCUGGGAACUGCAUUCAAAACUGACUGACUAGAGUAUGGUAGAGGGUGGUGGAAUUUCCUGUGUAGCGGUGAAACGCGUAGAUAUAGGAAGGAACACCAGUGGCGAAGGCGACCACCUGGACUAAUACUGACACUGAGGUGCGAAAGCGUGGGGAGCAAAC
rnacentral:rRNA from 1 species